GUGUUUCUUCUGCUUUCUUGGAUGCAAAGCGACCGCCCUGGUAGGGUAAAUACACCGUUCCUCAUCACGCCGGACAAGUUAAUGACACAGCUGGUUGCAGAAAGGAGCUUGUAACGUUGCGCCGAGCUGAAGAAACACCGCCUGUUAUGUGUAGGUAGCACGGAAGAGGAAUGAGGAUCCACUGCAUGAUUCCAUCAGUCUACAAUUCUAUGAUUCAACAUUUUUCUUUGCUUUGGUUGCUUUUCUUCCCCAUUUAUGCAUAUGGAACAACUUUCCCUGUUGGUCAGCUGCUGUGGCUGCAGAUAGGAGCAAGAAGGGAGCUGGAGCAGAGCAAGGGCAGGGAAAAUUGGUCCAAUUCAGUGACAGUUCCAGCCUCAAACACGGGUAGCUCUGUGUGUCUCCUGCUAUCAGUCUGUGCUACUCCUGCAGCAAGCUGGAUCCAUGACAUUGCCAGUGCUUUGGGGUGCUGGCAUCCGGGCUCUGAGCUCAUGAGGGUCCUAUGUGAGGUUAGAGAAUCACACUAUCAUGAAAUUAUGGAAUCAUUAGGGGUUAGGAGGGACCUCUGGAGAUCAUCAACCCCCUGCUAAAGCAGGUUCUCUGCAGUCAGUACAAAUGGCAAUAACCUGACUUGGAGAGGUUGCCUGUGCUCUGGCUGGCUGAAAAUUACUACGAAGAAGAUUUACAGUGGAGCACUGUCGUUGGAGUGACCAGAGAUGUGAAAGGAGAAUCAACAUGCCCAUUAAAACUGAAUGAAUGUAAAAUCCCACAGCAGAGUGGAAACUGAAACUGGGAAUGGGAAGUGCUCAGAUUGUGUCUCUGUCCUUUUGGUAUACGGGAUCCUCCCCGAGCAAGCAGCAACCUGUCGUUUCAGCAAUGCAAGGCUUCCCCUCAGUGGCAACAAGGCAGCAGGGUGUCCUGCUGCUACACCACAAUAAAAGCAUUUUGCUUUUUUUUUUUUUUUUUCUUCAAAGGCAAAGUCCAGUAAAAAUGUGGCUCUGAAGUAAAGGAAAUAUUUACAGCAGAGGCUGCUGGCUGGGCUGGGUGUAAUGGUAUACAGCAAUACAAGAGGCCAAAGUGAUACUACUUUAUGAGCCAAGAGUUUUUAACUCUUUUGGUAUAGGAGACAGCUGCCUACACGAGGCACUUAGGGAACAAAUGAAACUUGAGCGGUGUCA
rnacentral:lncRNA from 1 species